GACGAACCGUGCGAACGUUAUUCGGAAUCACUGGGCUUAAAGGGCGCGUAGACGGGCGACCGCGUCGAUGGCUGAAAGCCCCCGGCUCAACCGGGGAAUGGGCCUCGAUACGGGUCGCCUCGAGUGGAGGAGGGGGACCUCGAACUUCCGGUGGAGCGGUGAAAUGCGUUGAGAUCGGGAAGAACAUCGGUGGCGAAAGCGCUCUGCUGGACUGCAACUGACACUCAGGGACGAAAGCUAGGGGAGCGAAUGGG
rnacentral:rRNA from 1 species